AAUAAACCCAAAAAACCAUAACAACAUAAAGAAUGUGAUUUGUAAUUUAAACACAUACACAUCCUUUUUCAUGUAAUAUAUGCAGUUCUAGACAUUAAUGUUCAUUAAUGCUUUAUGCACUCUAGUGUUUUGAAAAACAUUUUUCAUGCUUUUUGUCUAAUAUCACCACUGGGACACAUUUUCCUUAGGCAGACAGUGCUUUAUAUCUCCCAUUAACUAAGUUUCAGUUCUUUAAAAAGUAAAUUAAGAAAAUAGGAUGAAAAGUCUAGUACCCAGUAAUUCAUAUCAGACGUGCAACCUGAUCCCAUGCUUGUUUACUCAAAAGAUAGUCUUGAAUUGAAUGCUGAAUCUUAAAAAAAAAAUACUGAAGUUUUUUGGCCAGCAUCUACAAGCCCAGCAUUGGUGUUCAGCAUACGGGAGCAGUUGCUACCAUCCACACACUCCAGCAGGGGAUAGCUGAGCUGAUGCUUUGCCUGGACGUCUGUCACCAUCCCCAGCCAUCACUUGGCAUCGAUUCCACCAGGUGUGCUUACCUGCCAGGGUAUCACUGUAAUGGCCUGGGAGCAAAAGGGAUACCGGUACUUAGCUCAGGGAAAUCCCUGUUCUGUGAUGGGAAACAUUGAUUGCAAAUAUAUCAGCACUUCUGUUAGCUUUGUAGUGACAUCCACCUUCUAGAGAGAAGAUUUGCAUUCAUCAAAUAAUCUUGAUAACUAUACAAGAACCAACUUGGAUGAAGUGGAUAAAUGUUGGGCAAGAGUGGGUGAGACCCGCAUUCAAGUCCCUGCUUAGUCACAAAGCCACCGCAUAGCCUUGGAUAACAUAGUUAUAUGAACACAGCCUCAGUUCAGCACUCAUGGAGGGUUGACAAAUGCAACAGAUACAUCAGGUGAGGCUGGAGCCUUGUUCAGUUGCUAGUAGAGGUGAUGUGCGCAUUUCAAGCAGGAGUGAUCACCAAAAACUGCUACAAGCAGGAUUGGUGCAAGGACAGCCCUGCUCACAGCCUGUUUCAAGCAGGGUUGUGCUUGCUUUAGUCCAGCAAGCCACUAUCCCUCUGCCGACAACUUAGAUAUGAGACAGCAGAAGAUGUCACUGGAGAAUGUUCACAAACUCCUACUUCCUUUCUUUUUCCACAGUGAGCUUGGAUGAGCAGCAUUAGAUUCCUCAGAUUCAUUUCUCACUAUAGGGCAAGCCUUGCCAUCACACAUGGACAUGAAUACACCGCAGACAUGUGUUUUGCCACGCUGGUGGUGCAUGUUGCUGCCCCUACCCAAUUUUAAUUAAGCAGCAACAUAAAAAGUUUACCCACAUUUUAAUUUGUAAGGAAAAUAUGAAUAUUUUCAACUUCAGUGUUCUAUCCUAUCUUGCUUUUAGGUUAUAUAUGUUUGUAACAUACAUAUUUGAUGUUAGAAUUGCCUUCAAAAAUAUAUAAAUUGGGUACCCCUGGUCUAGAUUUGUUUUCUUUUAUUAACUUGCCAGGUUGCUUUUUUCUCUUCCGUUUAGGAACUUCAUACCUGCAGCAAAAGCUAAAAAACCCAGUAUAUAAAGAGGAAAAGAAUGCUGUAAUCUGUGUCCAAAGCUAGCAUUGUUUGUACAUUAAAUCAAUUCUCAAGAGAGACAUUGAUAGAUCAGCAUGUCACAGCUUUGUGUAAACAAAGUCAUGUGAAUUUGAAUGCUUAAUAGAGACUAGAAGAGAAUAGUAUAUCUGAUAAUAUGAACAAAGCAAAGUUCUAUUUGGCUGUGCAAAUAAUGCAUGACAUUUGUAGAGCUAAUAGUCUCAAGAGUCAGCAAGUAGAAAAGGACGUUGAAUUAAAAGUGUACAUAAGGGCACUGAAUUAAGCUAGAAUCCACACGAUAACUUGUCUGACAUACAAUGUAGAGCAUACAUUCUAUAGUAACAGUCUGCACUAAUCUAUAAAUGGGUUAUUUGGUUAUUGAGGUGCUGAGAAACUAUUGUUGUUACAGUUCUAUUAUCACCUCCUGCAGACUUUGAUUUCUUCAUUCUAUUGCUCUUGGUAGCAUAGUAGCUCAUUAUUACCAUCCCCCCACCCUGAAGCCUUAUGGCAUCAAUUAGAUUCUAAAAACCCAGUGAUGGACAACAUCAUUCCAGAAGAAACAAGAACCAUUUCUUGCCUUGUUGUUAUAUUGAGCAUUUGUUUUAAUCUCACACUUCUUCAUACCUCACCUUCAUUUUUUUAAAUGUAUUUUU